rnacentral:lncRNA from 1 species
UAAGGGACCAGAGCAGUCGAGCUCGAUUUUUAACCUUGCGAAACCGAACCUCCGCCCCUGCUCCGUGAACCCAUCCAGAGCCAGUGGUUUACCAGCUCUUGCGGCGAUCUUGUAGAUAGUCUCCUUCCUCCAAUAGUCCACUGGUAGCCGUGGCAUCCGCAUCCAGACCACCACCCUGCCCACUCCCAUGGCACCGGGCACGAAGUUCGGGCGCCACCUAUCCAUCGCCAGAAGCUGCCCGGCUACCAUCCAUGGGCCGUUCAUCACCGCUGCUUCACGAUCUCCCUCCUUGGCAAACCGGAGGACUGUGAACCCAUCCAUCAACGGGAAGAUCUCCACAUUGUAGUCCAACCGAGCCGCUCUCUUGAUCUCCCUCGCGAUCCACUCGCCUGGAACUGACCUCCCCAAGCUUCUAACU